rnacentral:rRNA from 1 species
GAUGAACGCUGGCGGCGUGCUUAACACAUGCAAGUCGAACGGAAAGGCCCAAGCUUGCCUGGGUACUCGAGUGGCGAACGGGUGAGUAACACGUGGGUGAUCUGCCCUGCACUUCGGGAUAAGCCUGGGAAACUGGGUCUAAUACCGGAUAGGACCACUUCUUGGAUGUUGUGGUGGAAAGUUUUUUCGGUGUGGGAUGAGCUCGCGGCCUAUCAGCUUGUUGGUGGGGUAAUGGCCUACCAAGGCGUCGGCGGGUAGCCGGCCUGGGAGGGUGGACGGCCACAUUGGGACUGAGGUACGGCCCAGACUCCUACGGGAGGCAGCAGUGGGGAAUAUUGCACAAUGGGCGCAAGCCUGAUGCAGCGACGCCGCGUGGGGGAUGACGGCCUUCGGGUUGUAAAAUCCUUUCGCUAGGGACGAAGCGUUUUGUGACGGUACCUGGAGAAGAAGCACCGGCUAACUACGUG